ACUCUCUCUUUCUCAAAUAAAAUCUUAAAAAAAAAAAAAAAAGGAAUUUCAGGACAGUAACAGCAGAACAUUAAACCAAGUAUGGGGCUCUUUGGAGUGCAGGGCCCUGUGUGACCGCAGAGGUCACACAGCCAUGAAGCAGCCCUGAGCUCCUUCCCAGUGGUGGGUGGGACCGGCAAGGGCCCUGAUCCUGUGGGUUUUACAUUUAAGUGGGUGGAGACAGACAACAACCGAAUAGACAUAUGAUAAUGAUAAUAAUAGUGCUAUAUAUAUAUUAAGUCGUUUAGUAAAUGAACAAGAUAAUUUCAGAUACAGUAAGUGCUAGGGAGAGAUUCCAGGCAGGGUGCUGGGUCCACAGUGGCUGGCGCAGGCGUGGGUCUGGGUGGUCUAGAGGAGGCCUGUGUAUGAGAGAGACCUGGGUCACACAAGGGGCAAGAGUGGCUUCCCGGCAGAGGGACUGCAGAAGCCUUCAGAGCAGCCAACCUUGGGUGGGUUAUUUAAUCUCUCUGAGCUUCAGUUCUUCAUCUUAAAAUGGGAAUUCUAAUGAUAAAGUAACACCUAACUGACUAUUUGCUCUGUGUCAGGCACUGUUCUAAAUGCCUUAUACAAUAGUGACUCAUUGAGUGCUCAUAAUGGCUCUCAGAGCUAAGUGCUGCUGUUAUCCCCAUUUUACAGAGGUGGAGGCUCAGGUACAGAGAGGAUGAGGGCUUGCCAAGGUCACUAGCUGUGGAUGCGGAUUUAAAUCAAAAGUCAGAAGUUUAGAUCAUUUUGAAGAGCUGCUGAUGAGUGGUCCUGCCUCGCCGUUUGUUUUAUGAGACCACUUCCUGCCCUUUCCAGCACGGGCUACAAGGCUCCGUGCAACUGAGAAGAGUGAUGGGACCUGCCAGGGUGCUGCCCAGAGGCCCAGGGCUUCCUGAUGACAUUGCGUCAUGGAAAAGCUGUAAUAACAUUCUGCUCUUCAGCUUCCUCUUCAGUCGCACCGGGGACACCAGAGGGAGGAGGCAGGGCUGGGUGACUCUCCCCGGCUGUCCUUGUCAUCCCUGCUGGGGAGGUCGGGAGCGGGUUGCCCCUCUACAGCACCUGUCUUGAGGACCAAGUGAGAGUUCCUGGGGGGCAGAUGGGACAGCUGAGGUGGGGAGAUGGGAAGCAUGUGUGCCAGCACUCUGGGCUCACACUCACUGUCUGAGGACACGGCCGGGGGUGGGGGGAGGGUCUGCGUCAGAGCCCGCAGCCCUGGCACUGGCAGGCCCCUGCUGCCCCCCAUGCCCCCACUUGCUCUUUAUGUCUCUCCUUCUCCCUCCUUAAAUCAGGUAUCAGUUUGACAUGAGGAUUUUGGAGGUUAUAAUAGAGACUGGCUAGGGUCUCAUCAAACCCAUUUCCUUUUCCAGGCACACAGUUAAAUGACAUCUCAGCCUGCUGGCAUCUGGGGAGGGCCCACGGCUGGUUCUUGCCUCUGGAAUGUGGAUGUGCCUUCUCGGUGCUGUCUAACUUUUAGGGCUCGUGGUUGAUUGAAGGUGGUGGAGUCACAAGAUGGAAGGUCCCUGGGUGACUGUGUGGAGUGGAGGCUCACUCUCUGCUGACCAAUCCUGAUUGUAACGUUAAGCUACUGUUGUUUGGGGUUGUUUUAAUAGCUAGCCCACCCUGACUAAUACCUGUGUGUUUCUCAGUUCAGAAAAGAGAGCUCCCCAGUCUGGGGGCGGAGAGGCCGCCUGGGAGGCCCUUCCAGGCUUCCAGACAAGAGGGAGCAGUAAAGGCGGAAGGUGCGGAGGCCCCUGAUAGCCCUCAGUGCUGGGCUUUCUCCAUUUUCAUCUUAAUCUUUCCUGGUGCCUCUUCACAUCAACCCCGGCGGGCCAGCCCUCACCCCUCUGUUCCCUGAGCAAAAUGCUCGAUUCCUGUCGCUGUGCUUGUCCAUGAUACCUGCCUUCUUGAUCACCUCUCAGACUUGCCUCCCUUUCAAGGCACAGCUGAGACACCACCUCCAUGAUCAUCCCACGUGACAGUGAGCCCUCACUGCCUCUCCUCUCCUCGGUGGCACUCUGGAUGGCUGCACAAAUGGCCCCCAUGACUUGUUGAAGCACCCCUGAUAUUUUCACGUGAGGGUCUUCACCUUCUCUUUAAGUCAUACAGUGCUUAAGGAUAAUGACAUGGUCCUCACGCUGCUUGUUUCUUGCAUGGGUCCUGGCACUAUGCUGUAUGUACCAGGCACUCGGAAAAUAUUUGUUGGUUGGAUGAAUGGAGGGAAGGAAGGACAGAUUAACGUAAUCACAAACGCAUGAGCUCCUCGGCCAGAUUUUCAAGUGUCUCCACCAUCUGGGCUCACUCCAUUUCUCUCCUCUUCAUUCUACCACUCCCAACCACAAAAUCCCCAUUCUGGAUGGGUUGGUCUAUCCACAGACUCAUGAGCAUGCUGGGGUUUUCCUUCCCUUCGCCCAGCCAGCCCCUUCCCUAUUCUUGUCAUUGUUCAGGGCCCAAGUGAAGUCUCAUCUCCUCCAGCAGUUUCUGUGAUGUGUGUCGGCUGUCAGGUGAUGUGUGUUUCUCUGUUGGCUGUGGCCCGACCUCUUCAACUUGGAGGACUGGGCCUCUGCACCACCCAGAUGACUCCACUGUAGCACUGGGUCCUGGCUUUGUGCGGUUUGCCGUCAGUUCGUGUGUGUGACUCUAGCCUCCCCACCUAGAAUCUACGCUCCCAAGAGCUGGAUCUUCCCCAGUGCUUAGCAAAAGGAUCAGCAGGGAAGAGGUGCUUAGUUCAGUGUACAUUUGCUGGGUACCGGAUAUUCAGGGCCCCCUUACCUCUUUUGCCAUUUUAAAGUAAAUUCUCAUUGGAGA